rnacentral:lncRNA from 1 species
UCGCAACGGGAUCUGGGAAAAAAUCAAUGGGAACGGUUAUUAAUCGCUGUUAAUUAUUUCCCCCAAAAUUUUCGUGAAACCCGCCAAACCCCCAAAUUAUUUACAUUCUAUUUUUUAUCUGUAUUUUUAUGUAAUAGUAAUAGUUAUAAUUAAUUAAAAGUAGAAGAUGAACUAUAUCCCCCUUUCUCAAAGCUCACGCGCAGUAAAAACCCAAGCUCUCUGCCAAACCUCGCCACCGUCGGUGACACCUACGCCGGUCAGUCCCACGCCGGUGACAGACCCUCUUCCAGCCUCGGUUAAACGCACCAAAUCUCAGCAAACAAUUUUCAACAGUUGAGCUAUAAUUCGCACCAUAAACAACCAGCUUCUUCAAACAAUUCGAACCAUCCAAUAAGUUUAGGUUCGUUUCUCGAUUAAGCUUGGCUAACAGGUUCCACAGAUCCCUAAUUCAAGGUUUUUGCUUGAUUCUCAUAAAUUUCUGAUUUAUUUUGCAUGCUCUUCUUUUACUAAUUUUGCAAUUUCUCAAAGUUGAGCCCUAAUUUGCCUAUUUCAUUCCUCACUGAAGAAGAAUUUGUCGUUGGGUAGCUGUGGAAUAGAUAUCAUUGUAAGUUCCUUACUGCUGGAUUAAUUGAUUUUAAUUUUAUUUUUGGGGUAUUUAAGCGAUGUACUGUUGUUAUUGGUGUUGUAUUCAUUUUAUUUUGGAAUUACUCUUCAUUCUCAAAAUUGUUGUUAUUGGUGUUGUAUUCAUUGUUUCCAUAGGUGUUCCUGUUGUUGUACUGUUGGUUCAUUGCAGCAAAUUAUCUUGCAUUUUCAUAUAGAUCCCUAGCAUGUUUCUCAGCGUUGAUAUCAUAAUAGAACUUUCCAUUUCCCAAGAAUCUUGUGUCACUCAUCCCUUGCUGCUGGUGCACCCUGUAAUUACUUUUGCCAGUAUUGUAGUUAUUAUAGUUGGUGGAGUAACUCUAUUCUUGAUUGUUGUUGUAAUUGUUUCCGUAAUUUGUUGGGUUGGUGCUGUAAGUUCUGGCACUUAAUCUUGUCUCGUUCAACUCCCGUUGCUCGUUGUUAUUGUUUUUGUAGUAAGUAUUACCACCAUUGUUGUUGUAGUACUCCUCCUC